AUUAAUCAAUGUUGAUCUAAAACUUGAUAUUUGAAUACGUUUAUUAAUAAUUGGAAUGUAACCAACGACGUUUACGUGUGCAUAGGUACUUGUUACAUGAAUGAAUAAAAUAAUUGACGAUGUGCGCAAACGAUUGCGUACGGCAAAU